GCUGGGCAUGGUGGUGUGUGCCUGUAAGCCCAGCUACCUGGGAGGCUGAGGCAGGAGAAUUGCUUGAACCCAGGAGGUGGAGUUUGCAGUGAGCUGAGAUCACGCCACUGUACUCCAGCCUGGGUGACAGAGCAAGACUCUGUCUCGA
rnacentral:SRP_RNA from 2 species